UAAGACGAACCGUGCAAACGUUAUUCGGAUUCACUGGGCUUAAAGGGCGCGUAGGCGGGUAUCCAAGUCAGGGGUGAAAUCCGGCAGCUCAACUGUCGAAUAGCUUCUGAUACUGGAUGUCUUGAGGGGGGUAGGGGCAUGUGGAACUUCCGGUGGAGCGGUGAAAUGCGUAGAUAUCGGAAGGAACGCCGGUGGCGAAAGCGACGUGCUGGACCCUUUCUGACGCUGAGGCGCGAAAGCCAGGGGAGCAAACGGGAUUAGAUACCCCGGUAGUCCUGGCCCUAAACGUUGGGUACUAGAUUGUGGACUAAACAUGGGUUCACAGUCGAAGCAAAAGUGUUAAGUACCCCGCCUGGGGAGUAUGGUCGCAAGGCUG
rnacentral:rRNA from 1 species